rnacentral:rRNA from 1 species
GCUUCGGCAGCUACCAUGCAGUCGAGGGGUAACAGGAGUGCUUGCACUCGCUGACGACCGGCGCACGGGUGCGUAACGCGUAUAGAACCUACCUUUUACUGAGGGAUAGCCUUUAGAAAUGAAGAUUAAUACCUCAUAGUAUUGUUUUUUGGCAUCGGAAGAUAAUUAAAGAUUUAUUGGUAAAAGAUGGCUAUGCGUCUUAUUAGCUAGAUGGUAAGGUAACGGCUUACCAUGGCAACGAUAAGUAGGGGCCCUGAGAGGGGGAUCCCCCACACUGGUACUGAGACACGGACCAGACUCCUACGGGAGGCAGCAGUGAGGAAUAUUGGUCAAUGGAGGCAACUCUGAACCAGCCAUGCCGCGUGCAGGAAGACUGCCCUAUGGGUUGUAAACUGCUUUUAUACAGGAAGAAUCUUGUCCCUCGUGAGGGGCCUUGACGGAACUGUAAGAAUUAAGCACCGGCUAACUCCGUGCAAACAGCCGCGGUAUUACGGAGGGGUGCAAGCGUUUAUU